CUACGGGUCGCAGCAGUGGGGAAUCUUAGACAAUGGGCGCAAGCCUGAUCUAGCCAUGCCGCGUGAGUGACGAAGGCCUUAGGGUCGUAAAGCUCUUUCGCUGGGGAAGAUAAUGACGGUACCCAGUAAAGAAACCCCGGCUAACUCCGUGCCAGCAGCCGCGGUAAUACGGAGGGGGUUAGCGUUGUUCGGAAUUACUGGGCGUAAAGCGCGCGUAGGCGGAUCAGAAAGUUGGGGGUGAAAUCCCAGGGCUCAACCCUGGAACUGCCCUCAAAACUCCUGGUCUUGAGUUCGAGAGAGGUGAGUGGAAUUCCGAGUGUAGAGGUGAAAUUCGUAGAUAUUCGGAGGAACACCAGUGGCGAAGGCGGCUCACUGGCUCGAUACUGACGCUGAGGUGCGAAAGCGUGGGGAGCAAACAGGAUUAGAUACCCGCGUAGUC
rnacentral:rRNA from 1 species